rnacentral:rRNA from 1 species
AGCAGCCGCGGUAAUUCCAGCUCCAAUAGCGUAUAUUAAAGUUGUUGCAGUUAAAAAGCUCGUAGUUGAAUUUCGGGAUCAGAUUGUCGGUCGUGCCUCGGUACGCACUGGCAUUAUUGGUUCCUACCUUCUGAAGAGCCGCGAUGUCAUUAAUUUGGUGUCGUGGGGAAUCAGGACUGUUACUUUGAAAAAUUAGAGUGUUUAAAGCAGGCGCACGCUUGAAUACAUUAGCAUGGAAUAAUGAAAUAGGACGUUUGAUUCUAUUUUGUUGGUUUCUAGGAUCGACGUAAUGAUUAAUAGGGAUAGUUGGGGGCAUUAGUAUUCAAUUGUCAGAGGUGAAAUUCUUGGAUUUAUUGAAGACUAACUACUGCGAAAGCAUUUGCCAAGGAUGUUUUUCAUUAAUCAAGAACGAAAGUUAGGGGAUGAAGACGAUCAGAUACCGUCGUAGUC